UAGAAUUUGGUGUAAUUGGGAGCACGAAGAAUUUUGGAUUCUUAGGAGUAGGUUCGAUUCCUAUAGUUCUAG
rnacentral:tRNA from 1 species